ACAGACAAAUGACACAGUGCAGAGACAGACACAGUAGAGACAGGCACAGUACGGACACAGUACAGAGACAGCCCACGCAUACCACCCAGUUUCCCCUCAGAUAAUAUUUUGCAAAAGUGCAGUGCCAUUAAAGCUGCUGACAGCAUUCAUUCAUGUUUUGUGUAAGUGUUUGUGUGUGUGUGUGUGAAGUUUUUUUUUUUUUUUUUUUUUUCUGGGACAGAUGUCUAAGAGGGCAGUUGCUGGACCACGUGAUUGUCUUAUGUUUACUUUUAUAAGAAACUGGCAGCCUGUUUUCCGGGGCGGCUACAGCAUUUCAGCCUCCCAUCAACAGUGUGCGUGGUCUAGCUCCUCUAUAUUCUCACCAGCAUUUGGGAUUGUUUCUGUUUGUUAUUUUAGCCUUUCUGAUUGGUGCAGGGUCGUGCCUCACGGUGGUUUUAAUGUGCAUGUUCCCGAUGGCUGGUGAUGCUGAAUACCUUUCUGUGGGCUUCUCUGACAUCUGCUUGCCGUCUUCGGUGAGAUGUCUGCUCGUGUCUGUUUUCUCAUUGGAUUGUUUAUACUUUUAACAAUUGAGAUUUGAGAGGUUGCAGUGUAUAUUCUGGAUGCCAGUCCUUUGUUACAUAUGUGGUUUGUAAAACUGCUAUUCCAGUCUGUGCCUUACCUUUUCCUUUUCUCCAUGUGAGUGUUUGCAGAGCAAAAGGUUUUCAUUUUGAUGAAGUCCUUUAGUAACUUCUCACUAUCCUGUAAUUUUACCUCUAGAAUUUCCCUGGAAUCUACUCUCUUUCCGCAUCUCCGGAGAUGCACCUUCCAGGGCACCGCUCACAUGCUGCUCCAUCUCCUCCAUUCCCUCUGGCGGUGUUGGUGGAACUCUCGAGAAACUCUCUCCAGAGACCACCUCCACACCAGCCCAGCCCUCGCAUGCUGGCUCCUCACCUUCCGUGCUGUCCCCAUGGGGGUGAGGUCUACGGAUCUGGAAAGAGACAUGGACGUUUGCUGUUGGUGGGCUGUAGAAUGUGGGGGCUAUCGAAUUUGGAAUUUUCAGUUUCUUAUCCUCAGAGUUUUAUUUUGAGGGCUAGCAGAACAGUGCCGUGUCACUUCAGAAGAACUUGUUCUCCCCUUGCUUUUGAGUGAUGUACUUACGUAUUAGACAAGAAUAAUUCUAUUAUUGUUUUCUUUUUUUUAAAACAGUAGUGGCAGGUACAGUAGUGCAUUUAGGGUUAGAAGCGAUUGCUUGUUGGACUUCUCUGCUGGCCUCUUUACUCAAUUCUCACCCUCCAGGAGCAGGGAACUUCAUUAGAGAAGUAGUGAGACUUUUUCAGUUUAAAAAAUUUAGGUCAGUGCCAGACCCAUCAGCAUCCUUUGUUUGAAGGCAACAGAAACAGGCUCAGCUGAUUGGAGUCAGUUAUUGGAAGCUCAUGGAACUGAAGGAAAAAAGCAUGGAAAGCCAAAUAACAUGGUGUCUUAGAGUUUCAACUGAAGGAGGGCCAGGGACAAAGCAGGUGAUCUCAGAUGCCCCUGGAACCCAGAAGCCAGGCUCAACGGACGAGAGGCUUUUUAUUUUCUUUUCUAAAAACCAUGGAGAGCGUGUCUUUCUCCCCGUCUUCAUCAAAGCAGAAGAAUUCACGCAUCAGUGCCGCACAUGCACCCAGGCCCACAGCGGCCUCAGAAGUGCGUGCAGACAGAAAGGGAGACCACGCAGCACACGCCGGCGGCCACGGCUGGAGAGAGAGGCCAGAGGAGCCAAAGUUGUGUCUUCCUUCAUUUUAUUCACUUCAGACCGUCUGACUCAGCGCAGAUCAGCGAGCCCAGGCGCUCGAACCCAAACCCACUUGCGUCUGCCUGGGAGGAGCGGAGCACAUUUACGCCUCAGCGCCGGACUGCGGGGCUGUGCUCCCUUCACCGUCUGUACAACACACGAGGCUGAGUCUGUGAACAGACCCCGACUUGCUCUGCAGAGUUGAAGCAAGCCUUGUGCUUGACCUUGUGCCCUCACGGGGGAGACCAUCCGCUAAAGCACGUGUCUGAUAGCUCUUGAUUCAUUUCUGAUCUGUGCUUGACCUUGUGCCCUCAGGGAGGAGGUCGUCCGCUAAAGCGCGUAUCGGAUAGCUCUUGAUUCAUUUCUGAUCUACGAUCAUCUUGUCCUCCAGUUUUCCAGGAGGCCAUUAGUGUCAAGAAGGAGACAUUCCCUGUGGCAGGAAGAGGAUGUGUCCUGGUGGGCAGGUUAGAGUCGGAGGCCUCUGGGUUUUCUGCCAGGCAGGCUCCCCGAGGCCCAGAGGCAGAAGUGCUGCUGCCUGGACCAGCUAGUGCAGUGGGUCUUGGUGCAGAGCCCAGGAGCCCCUCUAAAGUGACACGGCAUUGUUCUGCCAUCCCUCAAAAUAAAACUAUGAGGAUAAGAAACUGGAAAUUACAAACAAGGCACCAAAUUCGAUAGCGCCCACAUUCUACAGCCCACCAACAGCAAAUGUCCAUGUCUCUUUCCAGAUCCGUAGGAGACCUCACCCCCAUGGGGACGGCACCGAAGAUGAAAUGGUUUAUGUUGAGAUCUCCUCCUCCUGGUGCUUCAGAAAUCACGUCUUUCAUAACCGUACAGGGCGAGCUCUGAUCUGAACACUUCCAGCUCCCGGGCUCUGCACAGGACCCUCCUUUGUCAGACCAGGAGAGACAAAUGACCCGGAGAGAAGGGGCUCACAGGAGCAGAGCUGAGCGGGGUUUGCUGGUGCACCGCACAUCGGAAAGAGCUCUGGCCAGGAACACUGGGCCCUGUGAGCUGCCCCCCAGACGGGCUUACUUUCCGCCUCUGACAGCAUCAGCCUCCUUUACAGCUGCUUGUUCAGGAUCCAGAUGGGCUGCGAUGUCUGAGGGGUGGAGCAGGGCUGCAGCGGCAGGGAGGUGCUCUGAGACCCCCUGUACCGAGUCCCACCCAGUUCAGGGCCCUGUCCUGAGGCUGGUGUGGGUGGGGACCUGCGGGCUUCCUGCCAUUUCACCCUGACCUUGUGGCCACAUUGCCGUUCCUUCUCGUGUCUUCUCAUCUGUUCCUGAACUUGGUCCCCAAAGCGAGCUCUUCUUCUGUAACUGGCACAGCUGCCAGCUGGGGCAAGAGCUCUGUUCUCCCUGAGGGCUCUCGCUUCACCUUCGCGGAGGAGUUAAAUGCAGCUUCCAGGGCUCUCCUGGAGGUCGGCAACCAGGCGCCUGCCUCUGCCAGGGCUGGCACGGGCUUCUCUUCCUUGGGAUCCUGGUGAGGGUGUUGGCGUCCAGUCCAUUUCCUCCCUGCUUUCUCCUCUUUCUGUGUGCAUCAGUCAGGACAGUAUUGAUGGCAAGUGACAGCAAAUCUGACCCAAGCUUCAUGAUACACAAAGGCGAUUCACGGGUUCUCUAACCCAGCAGGCAUGGGUUGGUCAGGGCUGACGUGGCGCGUCUGGAAGCCCCUCUCGGCUCGGAUCCACUGCACUGCGCCCACUGUCUGAACAAGGUGGCCCUCGUGGACCCCGGCCACCCUUUCCUUGUCCCGAGCAGGAGGUACAAGAUCCUGUCAUGCUUCCUCAGCCUGAGCCUCACUGCGUCUCACCUACCCUGACGAUGCCACUGCCCGACCAUCACAGGGGCCGGACGGGAGCGGCUCGACUGGCUCAGACCCGGCGAUGGGGAAUCUGCUCGGUGGGGAGCCGGGGGGGGGGGCGUGGGAGAGGACUCUCCGGGUGCAGAGAUGCUGAGCAGCCAGACAGCGGCCGUCCGCCAUGCAGCCCCCCUUCCCUGCUUUAUGGGCGUGACUGAUGAGAUGCUGUGGUCUCCAGAGCUCUUUCAGGGCGGGGCCUCUGGGAGGGAGCAGGGAGAAUCCUAACAGAUGCCUCGUACCAACUACCUUCCCCAGCACACGUUUACAUCUGGCCACAUUUCCUUCAGAUACAGUUUUAACAGCAUUCUUGAGGUAUGGUUGAUAGACACAAACCUGCCCAUUUUUAACGUCUGCAGUUCGAUGUGUUUAGACACUUGCGUACCCUGAUGAAGCCGUCAGCAGUGACAGCGUGACAGUGUCAGAGGUGUGUUCUGAGGAGAUGCAGUAUUCAGGCAGAGUUGAAGCCCUUCUCCGCUUCUGCUUCCGUUUUUUCAACCAGAUGUAACUCCUACCUUGAAUUUGGUGUGUGUCUUUCCUUUGCAAAUUCUUACGCUUCUGCCGUACAUGAGUGUGUCUAUAAACCAUGCAGAGAAUUGCUUUUUUGGUUUUAACUCUCAAUAACAACAGCUAAAAUGAAUAAAGUACAGCUUCAUACACUCACAUGGGUAAGUCUCAAAAGCAAAUUUCCCUCAAAGGGACAGUGUUUAAUUACAUGUAUUUUCUACAUUAAUUUAGUAGUUUUCUUCCUGGUAGGUAUUUGGCUAGUUUCAAACACUUCAUUUUUAUUUUUGCUACUAUAAAUAAAGCUGCCGUAAUCCCGCCAGUGUGUCUCAGUGUACACAUGUGAGUUUCUAGGGUGCCCGCCUGGGCACAUGGCCGGAGACAGGACCAUGCAUCAGGAUGGCCGGUGUCUGCCAUGUCGCUCUCCAGAGUGGCCACACCCACACCAGCAGCGCGAGGGGUCAGGGUCACUCUGCAUCACAGCACCGCAUCAGAUUUUAAAUUUUGUUGUGACAUAGCGUCCUGUGAAGGUUUACUUAGCAUUUUCAUGGCUGUAGGUGACGUUGAGGGUCUUCUGUGUUCUCAGCUCGCCCCAGGCUGGUGGCGCUCCUGUAGCCCUUGGAGGCCAACUCCGGAAACUGCCCACAGGUCUCAUGACCCUCAGGGGCCGACUCCCCAGAGGAGACCCCAGCCUUUCUGGACCAGAGUCCCGGCCAGGAGGCUUCCCUCUGCCUCUCCGUUCCGGGUCUUGUCCGGACCAGAGUCCUGGCCAGGCCAGGAGGCUUCCCUCUGCCUCUCCGUUCCGGGUCCUGUCCGGAUCGGAGU